rnacentral:rRNA from 1 species
UACGUAGAAGACUAGUGUUAUUCAUCUUUAGUAGGUUUAAAGGGUACCUAGACGGUAUAAUUAGUCUUAAAUAGGAUACGGUUGUACUAGAGUUAUAUAUGAGAAGGGGAGUAUUUGUGGAGUAGAGUUGAAAUUCUUUGAUACCAUGAGGACUGGUAACGGCGAAAGCAACCUUUUAUCUAAUAACUGACGUCGAGGGACGAAGGCUCGGGUAGCGAACAGG